GGGUUGUGAGGUUAAGCGACUAAGCGUACACGGUGGAUGCCCUGGCAGUCAGAGGCGAUGAAGGACGUGCUAAUCUGCGAUAAGCGUCGGUAAGGUGAUAUGAACCGUUAUAACCGGCGAUUUCCGAAUGGGGAAACCCAGUGUGUUUCGACACACUAUCAUUAACUGAAUCCAUAGGUUAAUGAGGCGAACCGGGGGAACUGAAACAUCUAAGUACCCCGAGGAAAAGAAAUCAACCGAGAUUCCCCCAGUAGCGGCGAGCGAACGGGGAGCAGCCCAGAGCCUGAAUCAGUAUGUGUGUUAGUGGAAGCGUCUGGAAAGGCGCGCGAUACAGGGUGACAGCCCCGUACACAAAAAUGCACAUGCUGUGAGCUCGAUGAGUAGGGCGGGACACGUGGUAUCCUGUCUGAAUAUGGGGGGACCAUCCUCCAAGGCUAAAUACUCCUGACUGACCGAUAGUGAACCAGUACCGUGAGGGAAAGGCGAAAAGAACCCCGGCGAGGGGAGUGAAAAAGAACCUGAAACCGUGUACGUACAAGCAGUGGGAGCACGCUUAGGCGUGUGACUGCGUACCUUUUGUAUAAUGGGUCAGCGACUUAUAUUCUGUAGCAAGGUUAACCGAAUAGGGGAGCCGAAGGGAAACCGAGUCUUAACUGGGCGUUAAGUUGCAGGGUAUAGACCCGAAACCCGGUGAUCUAGCCAUGGGCAGGUUGAAGGUUGGGUAACACUAACUGGAGGACCGAACCGACUAAUGUUGAAAAAUUAGCGGAUGACUUGUGGCUGGGGGUGAAAGGCCAAUCAAACCGGGAGAUAGCUGGUUCUCCCCGAAAGCUAUUUAGGUAGCGCCUCGUGAAUUCAUCUCCGGGGGUAGAGCACUGUUUCGGCAAGGGGGUCAUCCCGACUUACCAACCCGAUGCAAACUGCGAAUACCGGAGAAUGUUAUCACGGGAGACACACGGCGGGUGCUAACGUCCGUCGUGAAGAGGGAAACAACCCAGACCGCCAGCUAAGGUCCCAAAGUCAUGGUUAAGUGGGAAACGAUGUGGGAAGGCCCAGACAGCCAGGAUGUUGGCUUAGAAGCAGCCAUCAUUUAAAGAAAGCGUAAUAGCUCACUGGUCGAGUCGGCCUGCGCGGAAGAUGUAACGGGGCUAAACCAUGCACCGAAGCUGCGGCAGCGACGCUUAUGCGUUGUUGGGUAGGGGAGCGUUCUGUAAGCCUGUGAAGGUGUGCUGUGAGGCAUGCUGGAGGUAUCAGAAGUGCGAAUGCUGACAUAAGUAACGAUAAAGCGGGUGAAAAGCCCGCUCGCCGGAAGACCAAGGGUUCCUGUCCAACGUUAAUCGGGGCAGGGUGAGUCGACCCCUAAGGCGAGGCCGAAAGGCGUAGUCGAUGGGAAACAGGUUAAUAUUCCUGUACUUGGUGUUACUGCGAAGGGGGGACGGAGAAGGCUAUGUUGGCCGGGCGACGGUUGUCCCGGUUUAAGCGUGUAGGCUGGUUUUCCAGGCAAAUCCGGAAAAUCAAGGCUGAGGCGUGAUGACGAGGCACUACGGUGCUGAAGCAACAAAUGCCCUGCUUCCAGGAAAAGCCUCUAAGCAUCAGGUAACAUCAAAUCGUACCCCAAACCGACACAGGUGGUCAGGUAGAGAAUACCAAGGCGCUUGAGAGAACUCGGGUGAAGGAACUAGGCAAAAUGGUGCCGUAACUUCGGGAGAAGGCACGCUGAUAUGUAGGUGAAGUCCCUCGCGGAUGGAGCUGAAAUCAGUCGAAGAUACCAGCUGGCUGCAACUGUUUAUUAAAAACACAGCACUGUGCAAACACGAAAGUGGACGUAUACGGUGUGACGCCUGCCCGGUGCCGGAAGGUUAAUUGAUGGGGUUAGCGCAAGCGAAGCUCUUGAUCGAAGCCCCGGUAAACGGCGGCCGUAACUAUAACGGUCCUAAGGUAGCGAAAUUCCUUGUCGGGUAAGUUCCGACCUGCACGAAUGGCGUAAUGAUGGCCAGGCUGUCUCCACCCGAGACUCAGUGAAAUUGAACUCGCUGUGAAGAUGCAGUGUACCCGCGGCAAGACGGAAAGACCCCGUGAACCUUUACUAUAGCUUGACACUGAACAUUGAGCCUUGAUGUGUAGGAUAGGUGGGAGGCUUUGAAGUGUGGACGCCAGUCUGCAUGGAGCCGACCUUGAAAUACCACCCUUUAAUGUUUGAUGUUCUAACGUUGACCCGUAAUCCGGGUUGCGGACAGUGUCUGGUGGGUAGUUUGACUGGGGCGGUCUCCUCCUAAAGAGUAACGGAGGAGCACGAAGGUUGGCUAAUCCUGGUCGGACAUCAGGAGGUUAGUGCAAUGGCAUAAGCCAGCUUGACUGCGAGCGUGACGGCGCGAGCAGGUGCGAAAGCAGGUCAUAGUGAUCCGGUGGUUCUGAAUGGAAGGGCCAUCGCUCAACGGAUAAAAGGUACUCCGGGGAUAACAGGCUGAUACCGCCCAAGAGUUCAUAUCGACGGCGGUGUUUGGCACCUCGAUGUCGGCUCAUCACAUCCUGGGGCUGAAGUAGGUCCCAAGGGUAUGGCUGUUCGCCAUUUAAAGUGGUACGCGAGCUGGGUUUAGAACGUCGUGAGACAGUUCGGUCCCUAUCUGCCGUGGGCGCUGGAGAACUGAGGGGGGCUGCUCCUAGUACGAGAGGACCGGAGUGGACGCAUCACUGGUGUUCGGGUUGUCAUGCCAAUGGCACUGCCCGGUAGCUAAAUGCGGAAGAGAUAAGUGCUGAAAGCAUCUAAGCACGAAACUUGCCCCGAGAUGAGUUCUCCCUGACUCCUUGAGAGUCCUGAAGGAACGUUGAAGACGACGACGUUGAUAGGCCGGGUGUGUAAGCGCAGCGAUGCGUUGAGCUAACCGGUACUAAUGAACCGUGAGGCUUAACCUUACAACGCCGAAGCUGUU
rnacentral:rRNA from 1 species